AAAAAAAAGCAACUCCAUGCCGCCCGGGCUGAGAGGGGAGCCCCUCCACAUGGGAGCCCGGAGCUUUGGAUCCCAGCCUGAUAGGACAGCAUCCAGGCUGCCUGUCCCCGCAGAUGGAGGCCGGAGGGACCCGCCUCCACAGCAGCCCGCCCGGUCCGACCCGACUUGGCCCGGUCAGACCCGACCCGACUUGUCCCGGUGCGGCAAACUAGGCGGAAGGGUUUGACAGAACCAGAACUCAGAGCCAUGCAUCAAACUUUUUCUGCUUUAUGUCAACUAUUUCUGCUGGAUUGGAGUUAAAUGCCUCCAACCAGGCUCUGCAGCUAUGCAGCCCCCCCUCCCGCUGCAGGAGCCUUUAAAGACAAAGAACCAGAAGGACCAGAGAAGGUCCGGAGGACGCAGACCCGUCCCCGGCUCCAGUCCACCUCCCUCCGAUGCUUUGCUCUGACUGUGAAGCAGGAACCUGAAUGCAAUGACGUGCUUUAAAUGCUAUGUUAGGAACGCGCGUUCAUGUGUGUUUCUGGGGCCGCAGGAAGCGCUAUGCCCAUAUAUGGUCGAGACGGCUGACUGGUCCCGUUGACGCGCGGCUGCAGCAGAGGCUCUGUUGUUUUCUUUAGACCCCGGCGCCCCGUUUCAUUUCUAUGAGCCACUUCUGUUCAUUUCAGGGUGUGGAGGUGGGAGAUCAUCUGCAACCAGGAGAUCGAGCUGAGGACUCCCAGAAAAACCUGUUGAAUCUGUGAACUGCUUCGGUUCUGCCUGCAGCUGCAGUCAGGGCCUGGUCCUGUUUCAGAAAUAAAAAAUAAACAUCUUUAAACUAAUUAAUCCUAAUUUAAAAUCAAUGAUUAACAGAGAUGUCAGGCAACUAAGUACAAAUACUUUGUUACUUAAGUAGACAUUCUGAAUAUCUACUUUACUGCAGUA